rnacentral:rRNA from 2 species
GCUGGCGACAAUAGCAAGAGUGAACCACCUGAUCCCUUCCCGAACUCAGAAGUGAAACCUCUU